AAAGGGAGCAGCUGCGAUGGAGACUGAAGCCAGAUCUUGAGAUGGAUUGCUGUCUUCACUCAGAAAGUUGGUGUUGUAGCAGUUAUGAGGAGUUUAUUCCCCAAAUAUAUUAAAGCAACCAGGAUAGCACAUCCCUGGAAACAGACGGAUACUUCUCUACACAGAGCAAUAAUACUGAACAGACAUGGCAUUCUCUGAUUAUUUCAUGAGGGUGACCGUAGCAGCGCACUCAAACCUUUAGUGAUGUUGAUCAUGUUUUAUGCAGAGAGACUUACCAAACUCAGUUCACUUGUUAUAUUGCUAGAUUUAGAUCUUGUGGAAAAAGACAUGAGAAGCUUUUGAAUAGACAACAGAUUAACAGAAAGUGGUAAGUGCUGAAUGCGCUUACUAACAAAUAGCCUUGUUGAGUGGUUAAUUGAGAUAAUACAGUAAAGACUAUUUCACAACUGAAUUAUUUCUCAUGUUAGUGAUGUGUUGAAUGCAAAUGAAACAUAUACAUACAGUAAGUGUAUCCAUAUGGUUGUAGGUUAUAUGAUUCUUUACCAGUUCUUUAUUCUGCUUUAUUGUUAAUGUUGUAUUAGAUUUUCUUUCACAGACCCUAUACAAUAUAUAUGGUGAUUUAUAGUCAGGUCUAAGACUUAAUUAUCAAAACAUAUAGAUUUAUUGACAGAUAGACACUGAACAGGAUAUUUAUAGAUCUGAUUUUUAAACUUGAUGACAUUUAACCCAAAGCUGCCUAUGUAGU